GGCACAGUAAAAAGAUACAUGAAUAUCCAAGCAGAGAGAAGAAUGUGCUGAGUUUCUUCACUGACAGGGAGACAUUUAAGCUUGUUCUUAAGCACCUUGCCUCUCUGAGGACUUAAGUAGAUUUUCAAAAGAGAAAAGGAAUGAUCCUCCUCAUUGAUGACCUUUCUGGUUUUGUCCAGUUGGCAGAUUUCUAUCCCUGUAGUAACAGAAAAUAUUAAUGAGGGCACAACCAGGACUGUGGAGAGAAAGGCAAAAGAAAGCCUACGAAAAAGCAGCGCUUCAUAAUUAGGGGCCCUUGGGCUGCAGUAAACCCCUGAUGGGGUAAAACUGUUGGACGUGGGGCAAACCUGGAUGGACACAAGGCCACCACCUCCUCCAGAAAACUCAGGGCAAAGCACAGGUAAACACUUGGGCCUUGUGUGGCUGUGCUCUGGUUGAGGCUGGGGGAGGGAAAAUCACUGCCAUUGCACUGAAUGAACGUGACUCCUGAAUCUCCUUACUCUGCUUCUCCUCCUGCCCCCAUCUCUCGUCCUCUGGAACACCACACAUGCGGGAGGCUCUCAGGUAAGCAAAGAGGAGACGGUCACAGCAAAUGACAGCGCCAGAGCUGAGGGCAGCACGCACUGAUAAAUCCCUGCCAAACCCUUUUCCCUUCUGAAACACAAUCUGUGUAAUGGAAAUAAUUACCAAAGAAACAGACAAAACUACUUCUGAAUGAAAUUUAAGCUCCAGCAGACCAGAGAAGCGGCAGGAAACGCCAAGCACAAAGUAACCAUCCCUUCAUCCUGAAUUCACACCAUUUU
rnacentral:lncRNA from 1 species